GACGAACGCUGGCGGCGCGCCUAACACAUGCAAGUCGAACGAGCGAGAGAGAGCUUGCUUUCUCAAGCGAGUGGCGAACGGGUGAGUAACGCGUGAGGAACCUGCCUCAAAGAGGGGGACAACAGUUGGAAACGACUGCUAAUACCGCAUAAGCCCACAGGUCGGCAUCGACCAGAGGGAAAAGGAGCAAUCCGCUUUGAGAUGGCCUCGCGUCCGAUUAGCUGGUUGGUGAGGUAACGGCCCACCAAGGCGACGAUCGGUAGCCGGACUGAGAGGUUGAACGGCCACAUUGGGACUGAGACACGGCCCAGACUCCUACGGGAGGCAGCAGUGGGGAAUAUUGCACAAUGGGGGAAACCCUGAUGCAGCGACGCCGCGUGGAGGAAGAAGGUCUUCGGAUUGUAAACUCCUGUUGUCGAGGAAGAUAAUGACGGUACUCAACAAGGAAGUGACGGCUAACUACGUGCCAGCAGCCGCGGUAAAACGUAGGUCACAAGCGUUGUCCGGAAUUACUGGGUGUAAAGGGAGCGCAGGCGGGAAGACAAGUUGGAAGUGAAAUCUAUGGGCUCAGCCCAUAAACUGCUUUCAAAACUGUUUUUCUUGAGUAGUGCAGAGGUAGGCGGAAUUCCCGGUGUAGCGGUGGAAUGCGUAGAUAUCGGGAGGAACACCAGUGGCGAAGGCGGCCUGCUGGGCACCAACUGACGCUGAGGCUCGAAAGUGUGGGUAGCAAACAGG
rnacentral:rRNA from 1 species